GACGAACGCUGGCGGCGUGCUUAACACAUGCAAGUCGAACGGAAAGGCCCUGCUUUUGUGGGGUGCUCGAGUGGCGAACGGGUGAGUAACACGUGAGUAACCUGCCCUUGACUUUGGGAUAACUUCAGGAAACUGGGGCUAAUACCGGAUAGGAGCUCCUGCUGCAUGGUGGGGGUUGGAAAGUUUCGGCGGUUGGGGAUGGACUCGCGGCUUAUCAGCUUGUUGGUGGGGUAGUGGCUUACCAAGGCUUUGACGGGUAGCCGGCCUGGGAGGGUGACCGGCCACAUUGGGACUGCGGUACGGCCCAGACUCCUACGGGAGGCAGCAGUGGGGAAUAUUGCACAGUGGGCGGAAGCCCGAUGCAGCAGCGCCGCGUGCGGGAUGACGGCCUUCGGGUUGUAAACCGCUUUCGCCUGUGACGAGGCGUGAGUGACGGUAAUGUGUAAAGAAGCACCGGCUAACUACGUG
rnacentral:rRNA from 1 species